rnacentral:SRP_RNA from 1 species
UGCUCCUGUGAUCCAGCUACCUGGAGACCGGAGUCGGUGAACGGUGUGAGGGCAGGAGUCCUGCUUUCAGGUGUUCUAUGUUGAGCGGCGUCCGCACUAAGAUCGGUAUCAAUAUGGGCACACCGAGGGAGCUCAGUGUGACCAGGUUGUCUAAGGAGGGACGUACAGGCCAAGGGCGGAAACGCAGCAGGCAAAAGUCCCGUGUCGAUCAGUAGUGGGAUCGCGCCUGUGAAUCGGUAUCUGUC